UACAACAUCACCAUCAGCUCUAAUAGCAGCGGCUGGUACUACCGUGUAGCUCAGAAUGAACAUGGGAUGCUGAAAUCAGCUUCAAUAGAUGUCACUUUAAAGGCAGGUCACUUCUACAUUUUGCCUGUAACUGUUGGAGUCAGCCUCUGUGGGAUUGUACUUCCUCUCUCAAUAGUUUUAUUUGUGAAGAGAAAAAGUUUAAGAAGAGGCAAGAGGCAAAAGAGAAAUACAGAUGAAUCUGAUUAUGGGGUGAGCUAUCACAGAAAUCCAGAUAUAUUUGUCAAUAAGGAGUCUUAACCCUGCUAAAGAGUUCAUAGAAUUCAUGUCAUGACAAAUCAGAGCCUUGUAAUGACAGUGUGAGUCUUAGUUCUGUAUC